rnacentral:lncRNA from 1 species
GGCCUUUGUUAGUCUUCUAUUAUUUUUAAUUUUAGUUUCUUGUGUACAAUUUGGAGUUUAGUAUGGCGUUCAUUAUCACUGAACUAGUAUAUAUAUUUGUUAGGGGCCAGCUGAAGAACACCUCCAGGUGCAGGAAUUUCUCGCUGCAUUGAAGACCUGUUGGUGACCUUCUGCUGUUGUCUGUUCUAUGGUCGGGUUGUUGUAUAUUUGACACAUUCCCCAUUUCCAUUUUC